GGUGCAUUACGUUUGCGCGCAUUACCAUUACAUUUGCGCGCAAAAAUCAUUACGUUUGCGCGCAGCUUUUGAUUACAUUUGCGCGCAUUUUAUUGACAGGUAAACUCAGGUAAAAUACAGGUAAUAAUACUGAUUUAUUUAUCCAACUUCGCAUUCUUCGUUUUUUAUACUUAACACUUAGCCCUAUAGUUUCUGAAUUUUGUGCAACCAACUUUGGCCUAAAUGAAAACGGCAGCGUUCUAUUCUGGAAAUACAGAUCUAAAUGCAUUGUGUAUUGCGAUUUCAAAGUCAAUAUGUACGAUUCUUGGUUUAAACAAUACACAACGAAGAUAUCAUGUUGAGAAAAACAGUGUAAAUUUCCUCUGAUUUGGAUGGUAAGAGAGCAAAUACUAGUGGUACAUAAUGUCCCAAUUUUAAUCAAUGAAACGUGUAAAGUUUUUCAAAAUCUUUUGGACAGUAACUGAAAGUUCCAUCAAUUAAAAUUUCUGAAGCUUUUGUGCAUAAUGCAUCAAGAUUGGAAUUGCAUGACAGUAUAACAAUACCAUGCUCUAUGCUGUUAAAAUGAUUCCUCAAUUAUGAUUUAAUUCAAUUUUUAUUUAUAUUUUAUGCUCUUCAACUUCGUACUUUAUUUGGCCUUUUUAACUUUUUUGGAUUCGAGCGUCACUGAUGAGUCUUUUAUAGACGAAACGCGUGUCUGGCGUAUAUACAAAAUUUAGUCCUGGUAUCUAUGAUGAGUUUAUUUACCUGAGUUUACCUGUAAAAUGAAUGCGCGCAAAUGUAAUCAAAAGCAGCGCAAACGUAAAACAUUUUAAUCCCC
rnacentral:lncRNA from 1 species